rnacentral:antisense_RNA from 1 species
AAUAUGAGUGAGGAGACUGGACAGAAAGAGUUGGUUAGGACCUGAUAGAAUCUGGGCCAGACACCCAGAUUCCCACCCUCAGGACAACCCACCCUCCGGCUGACAGCCCUCUCUACUUCCCUCUCCCCAAACGCCUCUGCCUCCCCUGGCCUCCAGGCCUAGCCUACCCCAUCUACCGCUCUGGCUCCAGCCUGAGCCCCCCGCCCUCCUCGGGGAACAGAUGGGAGCUGGAGGAGGCUCUCAGCACUGGCUCCGCCAGGUGUCCAGGAUGGAGAUGGGAGGAGGCCCGUCGGGCUCGGCUAUGUGCAGUGAAGCUGGGGUUGGGGUAAGGACUCCGCCCCAGGGCGCAGGUGCGCAGUCCCGGCUAGGUAGCCUGCCAGGGUGCGGAGCGGGAGCGGGUCCUUGGGCUGCACUUGGGCGGCGCCGGAUCGGACGCUUGGCACUCUGGGCGGCCCCCCGGCGGAGUGGUGGUCCCAGGAGAACCUCCGAGGUGGGAGGGUCCCGCCCGCAUAGAGGGAUGUUCUGGGGAAGCCGGGAG